rnacentral:rRNA from 1 species
UGGGGAAUCUUGCACAAUGGGGGCAACCCUGAUGCAGCGACGCCGCGUGAGCGAUGAAGCCCUUCGGGGCGUAAAGCUCUUUCGACCGGAACGAUAAUGACGGUACCGGGAGAAGAAGCUGCGGCUAACUACGUGCCAGCAGCCGCGGUAAUACGUAGGCAGCAAGCGUUGUUCGGAGUUACUGGGCGUAAAGAGUGCGUAGGCGGUUUUCUAAGUUCGGUGUGAAAUCUCCCGGCUUAACUGGGAGGGUGCGCCGAAGACUGGGAAGCUGGAGUGUGGGAGAGGCAGGCGGAAUUCCUGGUGUAGCGGUGAAAUGCGUAGAUAUCAGGAGGAACACCGGCGGUGUAGACGGCUUGCUAGACCAUAACUGACGCUGAGGCACGAAAGCGUGGGUAGCAAACA